rnacentral:rRNA from 1 species
GCUUGAUCCUACCGGAGGAGGGGCCCGCGUCCCAUUAGCUAGUUGGUGGGGUAAAAGCCUACCAAGGCUUCGAUGGGUAGCCGGUCUGAGAGGACGGACGGCCACACUGGAACUGAGACACGGUCCAGACUCCUACGGGAGGCAGCAGUGGGGAAUUUUGGGCAAUGGGCGAAAGCCUGACCCAGCAACGCCGCGUGGAGGAUGAAGGCCCUCGGGUCGUAAACUCCUGUCCUAGGGGAAGAAAAAAAUGACGGUACCCUUGGAGGAAGCCCCGGCUAACUCCGUGCCAGCAGCCGCGGUAAGACGGGGGGGGCGAGCGUUGUUCGGAAUUACUGGGCGUAAAGGGCGCGCAGGCGGCUUGGGAAGUCUUGGGUGAAAGCCCCCAGCUUAACUGGGGAAUG